rnacentral:rRNA from 1 species
AUUGAACGCUGGCGGCAUGCUUUACACAUGCAAGUCGAACGGUAACAGGGAGCUUGCUCCGCUGACGAGUGGCGAACGGGUGAGUAAUGCAUCGGAACGUACCCAGUCGUGGGGGAUAACGUAGCGAAAGUUACGCUAAUACCGCAUACGUCCCUGAGGGAGAAAGCGGGGGACCGUAAGGCCUCGCGCGAUUGGAGCGGCCGAUGUCGGAUUAGCUAGUUGGUAGGGUAAAGGCCUACCAAGGCGACGAUCCGUAGCGGGUCUGAGAGGAUGAUCCGCCACACUGGGACUGAGACACGGCCCAGACUCCUACGGGAGGCAGCAGUGGGGAAUUUUGGACAAUGGGCGAAAGCCUGAUCCAGCCAUGCCGCGUGAGUGAAGAAGG